rnacentral:lncRNA from 1 species
CAGCUUUGUUUUAGAGCAACAAACCUGAACAGAUAUUAAUUUGUCUGUUGAGGACGGUCCAGUCAGAAGGAGUCAAAUUCAAGUUGGUAUUCUUCAGUGACCUGCAGGAACAUUAAACAUCUACCAGGCAGUCAGAGAGCAGUGUUCAGCUGCCCAGCAGUACAGCACCACAUUGACUACCCAGCCACUAUCCUCAGAGAUCUCUGAAGCAUUGGGCAGCUCUUUCAGCUCUCAGGAGAGUACAGUUUGACAAGGUGCUGGAGCUCUGUGGCAUAGCCUGUAAUUGGGCAGCGCUGGUAACAACUGAACGGAAUGGAGGUUGGAAUGUAAAAAAAGAAGCAAAACAAUCAAUUUUAUUACCACUAAAUCCUGUGAAGCUAACCCCUGCUACCUGUAUCCACAUUUUCAUCACUUAUAUUCCUUCUGGAGCAUGUUUUGAGAGAAGGAAACUUAAUCUUGAAGAUUAAUAACACUCAGGAACGCAGCUGCUGACAUACCUGUGUGUUUGACUUGAGGCUGCUACAGCCAGUUUCUUCUCCAGGGCCUGGAUAUCCUCUGCAGUCAGUCUCACCAGGCGAACGCCAGCCAGCCGCAGCAAGGGGGAAUGAUGCUGAGCCUUCCCGAGGAUGUAGCACAAUUGCUGGAUCAGAAACCAGCCCUCCCAGGCCAUGUUUAUAAAGGGGUAGGCAGCUAGAAAGGCUCGGUAAAAACGCUUCCAGGAGGAUGAUGGAGGAUGGAUGGAGUACUCAUCCUCUUCCCUAAGGCUGG